rnacentral:rRNA from 1 species
AGAUUGAACGCUGGCGGCAUGCCUUACACAUGCAAGUCGAACGGCAGCACGGGAGCAAUCCUGGUGGCGAGUGGCGAACGGGUGAGUAAUACAUCGGAACGUGCCCAAUCGUGGGGGAUAACGCAGCGAAAGCUGUGCUAAUACCGCAUAAGAUCUACGGAUGAAAGCAGGGGAUCGCAAGACCUUGCGCGAAUGGAGCGGCCGAUGGCAGAUUAGGUAGUUGGUGAGGUAAAGGCUCACCAAGCCUUCGAUCUGUAGCUGGUCUGAGAGGACGACCAGCCACACUGGGACUGAGACACGGCCCAGACUCCUACGGGAGGCAGCAGUGGGAAUUUGGACAAUGGGCGAAGCCUGAUCCAGCCAUGACCGCGUGCAGGA